UACGUAGGGGGCAAGCGGUGUCCGGAAUCAUUGGGCGUAAAGAGCGUGUAGGCGGUCCAGUAAGUCCGCUGUGAAAGUCAAGGGCUCAACCCUUGAAAGCCGGUGGAUACUGCUGGACUAGAGUCCGGAAGAGGCGAGUGGAAUUCCUGGUGUAGCGGUGAAAUGCGCAGAUAUCAGGAGGAACACCAAUAGCGAAGGCAGCUCGCUGGGACGUUACUGACACUGAGGCGCGAAAGCGUGGGGAGCGAACAGG
rnacentral:rRNA from 1 species